GACGAACGCUGGCGGCGUGCUUAACACAUGCAAGUCGAACGGAAAGGCCCUGCUUUUGUGGGGUGCUCGAGUGGCGAACGGGUGAGUAACACGUGAGUAACCUGCCCUUGACUUUGGGAUAACUUCAGGAAACUGGGGCUAAUACCGGAUAGGAGCUCCUGCUGCAUGGUGGGGGUUGGAAAGUUUCGGCGGUUGGGGAUGGACUCGCGGCUUAUCAGCUUGUUGGUGGGGUAGUGGCUUACCAAGGCUUUGACGGGUAGCCGGCCUGAGAGGGUGACCGGCCACAUUGGGACUGAGGUACGGCCCCGACUCCUUCCGGAGGCAGCAGUGGGGGAUAUUGCACAAUGGGCGGAAGCCUGAUGCAGCAACGCCGCGUGCGGGAUGACGGCCUUCGGGUUGUAAACCGCUUUCGCCUGUGACGAAGCGUGAGUGACGGUAAUGGGUAAAGAAGCACCGGCUAACUACGUG
rnacentral:rRNA from 1 species